AAUAUUGGACAAUGGGGGCAACCCUGUUCCAGCCAUGCCGCGUGUGUGAAGAAGGUCUUCUGAUUGUAAAGCACUUUAAUUCGGGUGGAAGGGCUUUAGGUUAAUUUGCUGACGUUUUGACGUUACCAACAGAAUUAGCACCGGCUAACUCUGUGCCAGCAGCCGCGGUAAUACAGAGGGUGCAAGCGUCAAUCGGAAUUACUGGGCGUAAAGCGCGCGUAGGUGGUUCAGUAAGAUGGGUGUGAAAUCCCCGGGCUUAACCUGGGAACUGCUUUCAUAACUGCUGAGCUAGAGUACGGUAGAGGGUAGUGGAAUUUCCUGUGUAGCGGUGAAAUACGUAGAUAUAGGAAGGAACACCAGUGGCGAAGGCGACUACCUGGACUGAUACUGACACUGAGGUGCGAAAGCGUGGGGAGCAAAC
rnacentral:rRNA from 1 species